UCCUGACGGUAGUCGUAUGCUCGUCUCCGAGACUAAGCCAUGCAAGUCCAAGUACACGUCCUUGAACGACGGAAACUGCGAACGGCUCAUUAAAUCAGUUGCGAUCUACUCGGCGUUCCGCGCCGCCGGAUAACCGUAGUAAUUCUAGGGCUAAUACGUGCGAAGCGCCCGAAGCCGCGAGGCGACGGGCGUUCUCGCCGGAUGUAGGAACCGACCCGGGGACCGCCGGGGGCAACCCCGGCGCCCCCCGAGACGGGGCGAACCACGGUGAAAUGACGGAUCGUCGGCCCCGCGCCGGCGACUCGCCGAAUCGAGUUUCUGACCUAUCAACUCGAGACGGCGGGGUAGAGGCCCGCCGCGGUAACGACGGUAACGGGGAAUCAGGUUCGAUUCCGGAGAGGGAGCCCCGAGAAACGGCUACCACUUCCAA
rnacentral:rRNA from 1 species